ACAGUGCGCUCUUGUGUUUAGCGUCCGCCAUGUUGUAUGGCCUGCCAGAAAUUGACGGUGGCGAAUGAGGUCAGAAGCCGAUGGCGAUGACUUGUUCGUCUUGAAGAAACGCACAUCUAGCAUACGAAGUCUUUGAAACACCAUGGUGCAGCAUGCCAGCUGAGCAGCCUGUGGCGUUACCUUUCUCUCUGUUCCACUCUGUUUCAGGGAAUAUUUGAAAGGUAUAAUUUGCCAUUUUCUCUCUUCUUUUUUCACUUUCUUUGUUUUGUUUAAUGAGGUAGGCAGCAUAUAAUGGC